rnacentral:rRNA from 1 species
ACGAACGUUGGCGGCGUGCUUCAUACAUGCAAGUCAACUGAAGCAGUGGUAGCAAUAUCGCUGUGGAGGUGGCGCACGGGUGAGUAACACGUAGGUAAUCUGCCUUCAGGUCUGGCAUAACUCCGGGAAACCGGGGCUAAUAGCAGAUGAUGCAGCGGCUCGACAUCGAGACAGUUGUUAAAGCUAUGGCGCCUGAAGGUGAGCCUGCGUCUGAUUAGCUAGUUGGCGGGGUAACGGCCCACCAAGGCAACGAUCAGUAGCUGGUCUGAGAGGAUGAUCAGCCACACUGGAACUGAGACACGGUCCAGACUCCUACGGGAGGCAGCAGUAAGGAAUAUUGCUCAAUGGGAGAAAUCCUGAAGCAGCAACGCCGCGUGAGGGACGAAGGGCUUUUGCUUGUAAACCUCUGUAGUGAGAGAAAAAAAUCCCAAUCUUUGGGACAUGAUGGUAUCUCAAAAGUAAGCCCCGGCUAACUACGUG